AUGAACUGUCCCUGCCUUUCUCCACUGCUCGCACUAGCCAGCCAUAGAGGGGUGAGCUCCCUGAAUGGAGAGGUAAUCAAGCGGAUGGUAUGCUGGCUGCCACGGAGAAGCCACCAAAGGAGCCAUAUGAACUCCAUUACCGCCAUCCCGUGCUCCCUGUCUGAUCCCCAGCGGCUGAUCUCCCCUCCCUCCCUCCUCCUCUGCAAAACUCAAAGGCUGCAGGAGAACGUGAACGUACGAGAAAAAAAGAAAUGGGAUGGCAGAGGAGGUGGCUUAGAGAAAAUUCUGGAGAAGAGUCAAGGGCUGAGGAACGUGGGGGUGGACACAGGCUCCUGCCCUCCAGUGGAAGAAAGGAGAAGGCUUUCUAGGCAGACGGGGAGCCUGCUGGGAGACUACAAACAUCCCUGAACAGACUUGGGCCAUCCCAAGGGUCAGGAAUGUGCACAGGAGGCGCAAGGGAGAAGGUGGACUUCCACAACCAAGUAAACAUCUUCUGCGUCCUUCCAGACGGUCGUACCCGUGGACAGGAGGGCCCACAGGCAAGGCCUGAAGACUGUCAAGUCCCAGCCGUUGUUUUGUCUGUAUGUUCUCUUGCAUGGCGUUCGUUGUUCUUUGGUGCAUGCAUACGUUGAACUUGCACGCAUGGUCGGUGUUUCCUUUUAUUCUGUUUCGUACUUUUUUUCACCUGCAUUAUUUUUUUAAGAGAAGCAUGAUGUUGGGGCGCCUGGGUGGCGCAGUCGGUUAAGCGUCCGACUUCAGCCAGGUCACGAUCUCGCGGUCCGGGAGUUCGAGCCCCGCGUCGGGCUCUGGGCUGACGGCUCGGAGCCUGGAGCCUGUUUCCGAUUCUGUGUCUCCCUCUCUCUCUGCCCCUCCCCCGUUCAUGCUCUGUCUCUCUCUGUCCCAAAAAUAAAUAAAAAAACGUUGAAAGAAAAAAAAAAGAG
rnacentral:lncRNA from 1 species